ensembl:lncRNA
GUUUUUUCAUCCUGCCCGGCGAUCGAUCUCAUCGCUGCCAUAUUUUCUGGCCCCCCACAUUUCCAUGGGCAUCUUCUCCAAUAGGAACCUUUGAACACGGAGCAUCGGUUCACGGGAGUGACUGCCAGGCAAGCCGGGUGCUGUGUUCCAGGCUCAUCUGUCCCCCUGCCCGAGUCCUGGCAUCUCCCAAGAACUGUUUGCAUUUAUAAAGAACAGUGUUCAGAGGUCGAGACGGUGGCUAAUUGCGCUCGCUCUGAGGCGUGCAGCGGACAACUUUGAUCGUCAGCUUGGCUGAGUUCAGAAGUGCCCGUGAGGGAGCAGGCUCAGAUUAUAAUUAGAACUGUGGAACAAGUCUGCAUUCACGACUCACAAAGAGGACAUCGGCACAUGAAGCUGUCAUCAUGAACAGGGUCUCCAGUAACACGGAGGGCUCUGACCACCAAGGAACCACACCAACUUUGGAGUCUCCUAGCAAACUACAAGAGGCAAAACCAUUAGUGAGUGGCAUGAAACAUUAUGUGGAGACUCUUUGCUAUCAGCACCCAGAACGUGCUUGAUGCCCCUGGUGUCAGCUUGAGACAAUUCAGGCAAACCAGUCUUGACUGACAUCACUUUUUCCUGGUUACUUUCUAAGCCCUUCAUUCUGAUUAAAUUGCAGGGGUCAGUUUUCUGCCACCCAACCCCAUGCUUUGCCUGUAAGUCCCC